rnacentral:lncRNA from 1 species
AGUUCCUUCCAGGAAGAAGACGUCAUCUAUAUGAAGCUCCCGGAGACUUUGCAUCUGUCCUAAGUGAAAAGCAUAGAAGCGGGAAUCCCGCUUGUUUUUCUGGGCUGAAGUAUACACUUCUGGGCUCAGGCUACUGAAGUGAAAUGUGCGAAGGUUCAUCAUCUUCUUGAGCAGAGGAACAAAUGCUUUCAUGCUUUCCCGACCCCAGUCACUGAACACGUCCAGCUCCUGGAUAGAGUCCAGUUGCACAGCACGAAGAAGCUUCAGGAUUGUAAAGACAGCUUUGGAAUUGAUCAUCACCUUCUCACAGCACAGGUGUACUGAAGCUUUUCUCUUCCUGGCCCAGUUCAAGAGACAGAGUUGUAAUUCAUCGCGGGUGACACAAGACUUACUCCAGGCUUCAAAACAAAGGUGCAUGAGGAUUGUCAAGGUCGGCUUCUUCUUCCUCAACCCAGGCUUGCCUGUCUCCUUAUUGCUGGCAUCUUCUGAGUGGGCAGCCCUCAUGGCUCUGGGCCCUACAGUCCAGAAGUCCCGGUGUACAUCCCUCCAAUCCAGCAUCUGCAGUCUCCAUCUGCUGUGAGAGAAACAGGAAGCGGUCUCAGACUUAAGAUAAAGAAAGACCCAGUUUCCUACCUGUGCUUCUCUUCCACUUUCUUGGCAGCAGCUGAACUCCUACUUUUCCUGCCCUCCUUUUUCUACCCUUGUAAUCCUAUGCAGUUAAUUUGACUUCUAAUCCCUGUGAGAGGAGGCAGGUUCAGGUUCCUCCUGAUUUCACUGCAUCUCCCACUUGCAGGUUUCUCAUCAGGAAACCCCUUCCCAGGUGGUAUUCAGCAAAGGCCAAAAACUCUUCAACAUCAAAAUCUGCUCCCUCCUUCAGUCUCCCAGGUCCUUAACACCAACUCUCCCUUUCUGGGACUUCAGGACCCUCUUUCACAUACACAUGUAUCACGCUCACCUGUGGUGAACCUUCUGGGACAGCUGCAUGUCAAGUCCAUCCAGUAGGGCUUGCAAGGUCUGUAGGUUUCUCUGUUGCAGUGCGACUUUCCCCAACGGGGUAUAUGGGGUCCUUGGUUCCCUCAAAUCCAUCAGGCUCCUCAAAGGGAGGCAGGGGAAAGGCCAGGCCUGCACCAUCACCUUCAGGACCUCAUUGUGUUCCCUCAUGAAGGCCUCUAUGAAUAUUUCAUGGAAGAUAAGGGUGGGCAGGUCAUGCAGAGCACUGCUGGCUGUGGUCUCACUCUUCAGCAGGUUCUGCUUGGUCAGCUCAUACAGAGUCAGUGGGCUCUGUGUAGUCAUCCUGAGAAAUCUGCAAGGAGAAGAAUCCCAGGUCACACACAGGAAGGGACAUCCAUUCAGGCCAAGCUCAAGAGCCUUCUUCUGACCGAUUAAGAGCGACUCAGGGGCCAAAGUGUCUGGUCUACUAUGGAGGGUGCCUUCUCAGUUUACCCCAGUAUUUGACUUAAGUGGCC